AUUAAACGCUGGCGGCACGCUUAACACAUGCAAGUCGAGCGGUAACAUGAUCUGUAGCAAUACAGAUUGAUGACGAGCGGCGGACGGGUGAGUAACACGUAGGAACCUGCCCAAAAGCGGGGGAUAACCAAGGGAAACUUUGGCUAAUACCGCGUAAUCUCGAGAGAGGAAAGCUGCCCGCAAGGGUGGUGCUUUUGGAGGGGCCUGCGCCCGAUUAGCUAGUUGGUGAGGUAAUAGCUCACCAAGGCGAGGAUCGGUAACUGGUCUGAGAGGACGACCAGUCACACUGGGACUGAGACACGGCCCAGACUCCUACGGGAGGCAGCAGUGGGGAAUCUUGGACAAUGGGGGCAACCCUGAUCCAGCGAUGCCGCGUGGGUGAAGAAGGCCUUCGGGUUGUAAAGCCCUUUAGGUCGGGAAGAAGUGUGUAGGCUGAAUAAUCCUAUACAUUGACGGUACCGACAGAAUAAGCACCGGCAAACUCUGUGCCAGCAGCCGCAGUAA
rnacentral:rRNA from 1 species